rnacentral:rRNA from 1 species
UACGGAGGGAGCUAGCGUUAUUCGGAAUUACUGGGCGUAAAGCGCACGUAGGCGGCUUUGUAAGUUAGAGGUGAAAGCCUGGAGCUCAACUCCAGAAUUGCCUUUAAGACUGCAUCGCUUUGAAUCCAGGAGAGGUGAGUGGAAUUCCGAGUGUAGAGGUGAAAUUCGUAGAUAUUCGGAAGAACACCAGUGGCGAAGGCGGCUCACUGGACUGGUAUUGACGCUGAGGUGCGAAAGCGUGGGGAGCAAACAGGG